ACAUGCUAGGACAUGCUAACGGUAAUGGUGAGCGGUUAGCAUGUCUUGGGUGUUUGAUCUUUGGCCCUCUGUAACUUUCUCACUCAUCAUUAUUCCCGAUCAAUUCAGGAUUAUUCGUAAUCAUGGUAGCAUCCACAUUAAUGUCGAAGUGUUUAAAAACAUAUAUUCUUAUUUAGAAUAAAAUGUACCUCAACAUGACACAAUAUAUUAUUGAACAUAAAUUUCUAUUUGGCACAAAAAAAGAAACACAACCUAAACGAACUGCAAGUGCAUCCAACAAGUUUGUAGAGUCAUUGCAUUAUAGGAAUAUGGGACCAAAUACUAAACUUUUGACUACUUUAUUUACCGAACAGAAAUAUAAACGCAACAUGCAAUAAUUUCAAAGACUUUACUUAUGUUACAGUUCAUAUAAGGAAAUAAAUCAAUUGAAAUAAAUCAAUUAGGCACUAAUCUAUGGAUUUCACAUGACUGGGCAGGGGUGUUGCCAUGGGUGGACCUGGGAAGGCAUAGGCCCAUCCACUUGGGAGCCAGGUCCACCCACUGUGGAGCCAGGCCCACCCACUGUGGAGCAAGGCCCACCCACUGUGGAGCAAGGCCUAGCCAAUCAGACUGAGUUUUCCUCCACAAAAAGGCUUUAUUACAGCACCCCCUUCCCUGUCCGAUGAUCCCGCAUGAUGUGGAGGUCCUGGGCUGGUGUGCUGACACGUGCACG
ensembl:lncRNA